GGCCGCUACCCCUCUGGCACAAGGAAAACAGCAAAGGCUGAAAACAGCAAGGCUGGGCUCUCUCUCAGUCCACCGCACCAGAAAAGAAUGUCAGUGUCCUCAAGGUGAGAGUGCUGUCUGCCUCCGAGUCUCCGGCUGGGGGUGACCAGGACACCUUUGUCUCUAAAACGAGGGUCCAAGGCCCAGAGAGAAGAGGAAAUGCCUUUUCCCCGCAGCCCAGGGCUCAGAGGCUUUCGUUUCCUGUGCUGGGAUCUGCCUUUCCUAGGACAUUCGCCGCAGGGCUGUUCAUCCAGCCCCACCCGUCGGCCCUGCAGGAUGGGCUUGAGGAGCAGCCUCGAACCAGCAGCCACUGGAGGAUAUGGAAAUCCAGCCCCUCUGCCUCCCAUCAGCACCAGGUGACGCUCACCUCUGCACAGAGCAUCUGCACUCAGCUUCCUGGUGUGGACUUUUGCUGGACUCAAGGGGGUUUUCUCAGAAAAAGGCAAAUAUGCCUCGGGGCAGAUUUAGGUAUUGAUUCCUCCUCAUGGACAGUAACUGCCUGGAGCCUUGGAGCAAGGCUUUCCUGGAGCUUAGACAAUCUCCAGGCACGGAGGUCCCAGCUAGGGUACCACAGGGUUUCUGUGUCCCUCUGUCCCCAUCUCCACUCCCACUAUUUCAAAGCUCUCAGUUUCCCUCCAGCCUCCUACCCUGCCACCUGCCCCCAUUCUUGGCAGCUGCCCUAAUUUGGGGAGAAAACAGAACCAGCAGUCCCCAGCCCCCAGCUCCCAUCCACAUGCUGCAGGCAGGUAGGCUGGCUCUUGGCAUCUCCUCUUCUCCUGUCACCCUGGAGAAGGCGGGCUGCCCCACCCAAGCAGCUCACCCAAGUUCAGAUGGGUGGCUGUGGAAGGCAGCCUUUAAAAAGACUCUGGUCUUUUUUCUUUUCAGGGCCACAUCUGCAGCAUAUGGAGGUUCCCAGGCUAGGGGUCAAGUUGGAGCUACAGCUGCUGGCCUACACCACAGCCACAGCAACUCGGGAUCCAAGCUGCGUCUGUGACCCACCCACAGCUCAUGGCAACACUGGAUCCUUAACCCACUGAUCGAGGCCAGGGAUUGAACCCAUGUCCUCAUGGAUACUGGUUAGAUUCAUUACUGCUGAGCCACAAUGGGAACUCCAUGGUUCUGUCCUGUUUGCCCUCUGGCUCCUUCACUUCCUCACUCUUCUGGAAGCCGGCUGCCAUGUUGGGAGCUGCCCUGUGGAGAGGCCCAUGGGGCAAGGAGCUGAGGGGGAUUUGGACCAACAGCCCACAAGGCACUGCCUUCCUCAGUCAAGCAGUCCGUGAGGAGCUGACUCCUGAGGCACCGAGUGAGCCUGGAAGUGAACCUGGCCUCAGUCGAGCCAUUGGCUGAGACCAUAGUCCUGGCUGACACCUUGACUGCAGCCUCCCAAGAGACCCUGAGCCAGAGGACCCAGCUAGGCCCCACCAGAUCCCUGACUUGCAGGAACUGUGAGAUAAUAAAUGUUCAUUACU
rnacentral:lncRNA from 1 species